AGAGCAUGAUUUGGAAAAGAACUAUUUGGGGCCAAAUUGUGAAUGGUCUGAGGGAGUUUGAUUUCUUUCUUCUAACCAAGCCCACUGAAAGUCAUUGACACAAAAGCUCAUUUAACAUUAAAUGACACAAAAGCUCAUUUAACAUUAAAUGAGCAUGUAAGUUGGUAGUCAAGGUUUCAAAGGAUAAGUCAUGAGGAUUUGCACCCAGAGAAUGACAGGAAAAAAGGAACACAAGAGAGCUACAACAGAGAGAAUCAACAUGGCUUAUCAAUCGAAUGGAUGUGACCAUUGAAUGCAUGUGACAUGAGAAGUGAAGGAUCACAGUAAUUCCAGAUGAUGAACCCAAAUGAAGGCAAAUCUCAAGGAGAAAAGUUGGUGGGAGAAGCAGAACUAAGCACACCAGCUCUUUCUCAGAAAGGUUCUAAUCAAGCGAUUGAUUCUCCCAGAAAAGGAGGGGCAGAGAGAGGUCAAUGGUAUCAGUCUAAUAGGAAGUUCUACCACCUGGAAAUGGAAAAGAUGUGGUAGUUCCCCCUACCCCACAUGGAAAUUAUAAUAUUUAUUUGAAACAGAUACAAUGUAAAGAAGCAGGCCAAACCCAGAUCCUUAUCCUUCAUGAACAUUCAAACCUGUACCUCCCUCAGCUUCCCCCAUCUUAGUCAUCGUUAUCUCCACACACACAAGCACUCAAGCCAGAGACCUGGAAUUCAUUCUUAGAAUCCUGUGCUUCCAUCCGCAGAUACUGUUGAUCUCAUUUCAAAAUUGCAUCUUAUCCAUCUCCAUGCCUCUAUGAAUGGCCCAGGUACAGACCAUCAUCAUGUGUCACCUGCACUACUAGAGUAGCUUCCUAACUGGCCUUCUUGCUUCUCCACAAAACAGCAGGGUUGAUUUUUAAAAAUAUAAAUCAGAUUGUGUCAGUCCCUUCUUAAAAUCCUCCAGAGUGAGCCUCCAAAUUCUAACCACAGCUCAUCAGGAGUCAGGUCGUCCGGAUCCAGCCCUCCCAUGCUCAACCUUCGUCUCCUGCCAUUCUCCUAGCUGCACACUGAGACACAGUCACACUGGCCUUCUUUCUCUUCUCAGUGCCAAGCUCCUCAGGCCUCAACAAGCUGGCACUUUCUACCCCUAUUCCCUUGAAUGCUUUGUCAUGGAACUUUGAGAGGCUGGAUCUGACUUAUAAUUUCAAGUCUCUGUUGAAAUGUCAUUUCCUCAGAGAAAUCUUUUAGGCUUCACAAUCUCUAGUAAGUCCUCUGUCUCACCGCUCACUCACUUUCCAUAUCACCUUGUCUUAUUGUCUUUAAAGUAUUUAUCACUAUGUUAAAGCAUCUUGUUUAUGGAUGUGUUUAUCAUUCCUCAUUUUCCCCUGUAGUCUCGCCCCACAGCAAAUUAGAAGUUAAUUUGCAUGAGAGCAAGAGCCUUUGCUGUCCUGUUUUACAUCGUUGAUGCCUAAAUGAAAAGAAUGAAAGAAGAUGGAGAGAUCUGAGUACAACCAUCAAGUGAAGGCGUAACCAAGGGAGGCUUGAGCAUACACGUAGACAGAGGGGAGGAAUCUUGUGGAAUAGAAGAGGAUAGAGACACAGAAGAGAGGAUUCAUUGGUGAAAUGAAGCCUCAUGCAUGUUAAUGGGGUUACUGAAGUCAGUAGCACCUUGGGAUCUACAUCUCCAUGCUGUGGAAGGAGGGGAAUGGCUGCCUCCUAGAUGGGAACCACUGGAUUAAGUUAAUAUCAGGCUGCUCCAGAAGCAACGAAGUGACUUUGAGUAAAAGUAUCUUUCUGUGCUCUCAACUCAUCUCUGAUCAGGAGUGGUGUGCUGGGCAAAGCAUUGAGUUCAGAGUUAAAUUUGAAUUGGAAUAUUGUGAAAACAUUUCUACCAUCUUGUUUUUUGAGACUAGGUCUCACUUUAUCAUUUAGGCUGGAGUGCAGUGGGGUGAUCUCGGCUCACUCCAACCUUGACCUGCCAGGUUUAAGCUAUCCUCCUGCCUCAGCCCCCCAAGUGGCUGUGACUACAGGUGCACAACAUCCCUCCCAGCUAAUUUUUUGUAUUUUUUGUAAAGACGGAGUUUCACCAUGUUGCCCAGUCUGGUCUCAAACUUCUGAGCUCAAGCCAUCCUCCCGCCUCAGCCUCCCAAAGUGCUAGGAUUAAAAGUGUAAGCCACUGCACCCAGCCAUCUACCAUCUUUCUUUUUCUUUGAGUCCAUGACACCAGGUCUAUGGCCUGAUGUGUCCACCUAAUGAAGAUAUGGACACAUGCUUUUAAGUGCACCUGAAGAAGGGCAAGCAGGCACACACAGACACAGAACUACAAGCCUCUGCUUUUGAAUUAGAGACAAUAUAUCUACAGAUAGGAACUUGGAAAAGAGCUAAGGAAAAAAAAUCACAGGUUAAACUAAAUAGAGGUUUUCAGGGUUGCCAUAGCCAAAUUUUUCUAAGAUUAUAAACUCCUAGAGGGCAGAGACCAUAUCGCUUUACUUAAUUUUAAACCAGAAAGCAUGAAACUAUGCAGAGUUAGGUAGUUGAGAAGUUAUUUGGAUGACAAUGACAGUAAUGACAAGAUAGCUGAAACUGUUAAGCCCAAAUGAAAUUAUGGCUUAAGCAAUUUAAUCAUUUUCUUGGAGCAAAAUGAGAUUGGUUGAUACAUAAAUGUAUAAUGACAGACUGAAUACUGGAAACUAGACUGUUAGGCACCGUGGGAAUAUUGAACUUAAGUAAAAAGCCAGUCUUUCCUCUCCCAUCAACAGAGACAGAUCAAAUAGUGACUAGACCCUCAGAUGAAACCAGAGAUUCCAUAUCUUUCUCCUUCUUUUCUUGCAAAAGGAAUAUGACCAAAAUUUUAUCAAUUUUACCUAGUUAAAAAAUAAUGUAGCCUAAUAUCAAUUAUUAAAAAAUAAUGUAGCCUAACGCAUCAAUUACCUUUCAAAAUACUGGCCUUAAAGAACCUAGUUUUUUAAAGUACAAUCUGAAUUCCUAUAUUUUCUCAUGAAAAAAUUAUAUUGCUUCACGUGUAAACAGUAUAAUUGCAAGCUAUUCUGAAGCUUACACUAUAACCUUAAAGAAGUUGACUUUACAGAAAAUUUUCUAAUAAUAUAAAUAUUAGUCAUAGAUACAUUUUUCACUUGAUAAUUAUUUUUCUUUGACAUAAAGGUCAAUAUUUUUCAAUGCUGUAGUCAUCAAUUUCAAAGGAAAUAUUUGUGUGCUGCUUCCUGUUUCUGUUCUAAGCAGCCAAUGGGCCAACACAGCAGCUGGCUAUGAGGUCAACAGAAACUAACAUCUGAUGCAGUAUAUUAGCAAUUACUACAGAUUCUAGAACCAGGCAUUGGUGAGUUUUGGUCAAUGCUCAGAGAACAGGCAAUUGAACUCUUUACAGAGCUUUCCAUUUUUGAGUUCUUUCUAGAGAUAGGUUUUGCUGGAAAAAAAACAAGUCAUACUGACUUCAUGAAAGAGGGAAAGAAAAUCUUAAGUAUGUGAGUAUUUAUAGAAUCUUUAAUAUGCAUCUCUACAUAUGGUCUAUGUGUAUAUGCAUGUGAGAAAAGAUUCCUGGUGUUUCUCAAGUUAGUCUAGGUUUUGAGAGUUUCUAAAAACAAGAAGACCGAUCUUGAGAAUUAAACAAAAAGUACUAUCUUAUUAUAAAAUUCUAUUCUCUAUUAUGCAGAAAUCCAUUAUAUAAUACACAGAACUCUGCCUUCAUCAAAUCUAUAGAACAGUCUAUGGAAUUCUAUCUCCAAAGAUGAAUCUGUGAGGUUUCAAAGGCAUUGUGUCAGAAUUAUAUAAAACGUUUGCUGAAAAAAUAUCAGGGAGUUCAUCAAACUUAACCAGUUAUUUAGCACUUAAAAAGCACCCAGAAUAUCUAAACUAACCCUUAAAAAUCAAAUUAUAUCAAAAUGUUUUAGAAUUGUCAUAACCUCAGGUACAUGUCUAAUGAGACAAUAUUGAAAUAUCCAAAUAACACAUACUAACCUUAAAUAAAUCCAUCUCAGUAAUAUUAUUUAAAAAUUAACCAGAAAAACAUACCCUUCACUCUAGGUCAUCUGGAGAGCUCAGUAGCCUUCUUCUUACUGAGAUAAAUUUUCAGAAGUCAUUAAUAACAAUCUCUUAUCUAACUGAGAAGGAUACGACUUUUACUGCAAGGAAUGAUAUGUGCUCCAGAAACGCAAAACAGACAUUAGAAGUAUCAAACACUUACUUUUGAGUUAUGAAUAAAUAACAUAUUUUUGAAAAGAAUGCAUUAUGAUUCACUUACCUGUUACUUUAGCUUCAUAUUUACUGCAGACUCCAUAAAUUUUGACUGCAGUUUCACUGGAGUGUUGCUGGUCAGUGAAAUCUGUGAAAAAGCACAGAGCAAACAGUCAUGAGACAAAGUAAUAUUUGAAUAGAGUAAUGCCUUAUUUUAACAACAGAAAGUUUAAGUAUAAACUUAUUUAUUCAUAUGAACAAUAAAAUCACUCCUCUUGUACAAGAUAAAAGUCUGUUAAGUAAAAGCAACAGUUCAUAUAAACUGAUGAGAAUUGACAAAAAUUUGGUCUCACAAUGUCCACUGCAAUAAGCAAGGAUUAUAUGGUUUGGGUCGAAGUUCACAUACUUAAACACAAGCAUAUGAAACUUGAGAUGAUGCUGAUGUAGUCGAUUAAGUUUAGUCUGGUAUCAGUCAUUAAGAAAACAUAUUAUCUUUACUAACGUAUUAUAGAAAGCAACAAUAACCAUCUGUGUAAAAUUCAUAAUUUUGUAAGAUCCAGAACAUAAUGAUAAUCAUUUUCUGUUUAAGACACAGGUCAGUAAUUCAAAGACUGUUUCCAUAUCCAGAUAAUAUCACUGUAGCUGCAAUUAUUUGCCUUGGCCAUUACCUGAGUUCUGACCUAGGAUUAUUAAUCCUUUAUUUACUCUCCAUAAAUGUUAUUUUAAAUGUACAAGAGACCAUUUUCAAGCUUUUAAUUAGAACACGUCCCACUGUUACUUCUCAAGUGUGGUUCUUCAUUUGUAAGUAUGAAACCAUUUCUCUAGUUACCUUAUUAGUAAACUGGAGUGAUCUUUGAAUGGGUUUUUAGGCAUCUAAGGCAAAUUAAGAAAAAACAGUAACAUGAAAAGAUGCCUUUAAUUUACCACUAAGUGAAAGAGGGGGAAUAUGAUUUGUAUAAAUUAUGAUUAUAAACAAUAUUAAGAUCCUAGGCAUGAAAAAAUACCUGAAAAUGCAAUAGAAUUACCUCAGUUGUGCUAAAUUGGUAAAACUGUAUUUCCUUUUUCUAGAUCCAUUUUAACAAUAUAAUUCUUCCAAUCCACAAACAUAUUUUCUCAUUUAUGUAAGAGAAUUUCAUACAUAAAUUUCUUUCAUCAAUGCUUCACAGUUUUCCAUGUAUAGAUCUUUCAUUUCCCUGGUUAAAUUUAUUUCUAAACACUUUUUCUAUGGUACUGCAAUUGAGAUUGUUUUCUUGGUGUUUUUUCCAGAUAGAUCACUGUUGGUAUGAAGAUAUGCAACUGAUUUUUACAUGUUGAUUUUGUAUCCUGCUGCUUUACUGAAUUCAUUUAUUAGUUCUAAUUGUUGAGUCUUUAGAGUUUUUGACAUAUAGGAUCAGGUCAUCUGAAGACAGGAAUAAUAUUACUUCUUCCUUUCCAAUUAGAAUGCAUUUUCUUUCUUUUUCUUGCCUGACCGAGCUUGCUGGUACUUUUAGUACUAUGUUGAACAGAAGUGGCCUGUUCAUAAAUGGACUUUAUUAUGUCGAAGAAAUCAUCUUCUAUAUCUAUUUUGUUGACAGUUUUUUUUUUUAUAAUGAAAGAAGAUUGAACUUUGUUGAAUGCUUUUUCUGUAUCUAUGGAGAUGAUCGAGUCAUUUUUAUUUUUCAUUCUGUUAGUAGGUUACUAACACUGACUCUAAUGGUAACUUUUGCUAGAGUCUUAUUUGGUUUUAAGAGACCACUAAGCAGCCCUAAAUGAUUUGGUCCCAAAGACUUAACAUAGGUUACUCCAAAUUCUCUUUGAGUUUGAGUAUGAGCUAGAGAAGGUCAUUAUUUGAUGGAUAUAGCCAACUUAAAAAUGUAAUUAUACCUUGCCAUAACUAACUCCGACCUUUCUAAAUACUCGUGCUUAAAAUUUUGUUGAAAUAAUAUUAAAUGAAUCAUUUAAAAGGCCUUGCAAUCAUGUAGACCAACAUAUUUUAUUUUGUUUAUGAGUCUUGUUUUUUGAUAUAGUUUUUCAUUGUUCUAAUAUAUUAAUCCAUAAUUUUAGGCAUCUGUGAAAAUGAGUGAUUACCAGAAUAAUCAUGUCAAGUCACUGAACCCUUCUGUCAUAUAAAUAAUCAAGGAAAA
rnacentral:lncRNA from 1 species